UGAUCCGUAGAUUUCCGAAUGGGGCAACCUAACUAUCUGAAGGAUAGUUGUAUAAUACGCGAACGCGCUGAACUGAAACAUCUAAGUAGGCGUAGGAGGAGAAAAUAAUAAUGAUUUCCCAAGUAGUGGCGAGCGAACGGGAAAGAGCCCAAACCAUACAUGUUACGGCAUAUAUGGGGUUGUAGGACCACGAGAUGUGAUUUGUAAAGUAAACUGGAACCAGGUGGGAAACUGGGCGAUAUGGGUGAUAGCCCCGUACAGGUAAGCAAUACAGCGCUAGUGGUAUCCUGAGUAGGGCGGGACCGGAGGAAUCCUGCUUGAAUCUGCCAGCACCAUCUGGUAAGGCUAAAUACUCCUGAGAGACCGAUAGUGAACCAGUACUGUGAAGGAAAGGUGAAAAGAACCCCGAACAGGGGAGUGAAAAGAACCUGAAACCGUGUACUUACAAGCGGUUGGAGCAGGGUGAUCCUGUGACAGCGUGCCUUUUGCAUAAUGAGCCUACGAGUUACUCUUUACUGGCAAGGUUAAGUGAUUCAGUCACGUAGCCGCAGCGAAAGCGAGUCUGAAUAGGGCGCAGAGUCAGUAGAGGUAGACGCGAAACCUUGUGAUCUACCCUUGGGCAGGUUGAAGGUUGGGUAACACCAACUGGAGGACCGAACCGAUAAACGUUGAAAAGUUUCCGGAUGACCUGAGGGUAGGGGUGAAAGGCCAAUCAAACUGGGAAAUAGCUCGUACUCCCCGAAAUGUUUUUAGGAACAGCGUCGAUAUAUAGUCUUAUAGAGGUAGAGCUACCGAUUGGGUGCGGGGGAGUCAAAUCCUACCAAAUCCAGACGAACUCCGAAUGCUAUAAGAUAUGAUCGGCAGUGAGGCUUUGGGUGCUAAGGUCCAAGGCCGAGAGGGAAAGAACCCAGACCAUCAGCUAAGGUCCCCAAAUGUAGUCUAAGUUGAACUAACGAGGUCCGGUUGCCCAGACAGCUAGGAUGUUGGCUUGGAAGCAGCCAUUCAUUUAAAGAGUGCGUAACAGCUCACUAGUCGAGCGACCGGGCGUGGAUAAUAAACGGGCAUCAAGAUUACUACCGAAGCUAUGGAUUACAUCAUACGAUGUACUGGUAGGGGAGCAUUCUAUCGUCGGUGAAGCACUAUGGUGAUGUAGUGUGGAGAUUAUAGAAAAGCAAAUGUAGGCAUAAGUAACGAUAAGGCGGGUGAGAAACCCGCCCACCGAAAGACUAAGGUUUCCUGAUCAACGCUAAUCGGAUCAGGGUUAGUCGGGGCCUAAGGCGCAACCGAAGGGUGAAAGCCGAUGGACAACUGGUUAAUAUUCCAGUACUUUUAUAUACUGCGAUGUGGUGACGGAGUAGUGACACUGCCGCCAGCUGACGGAAUAGCUGGUUAAAAGGCGUAGGUAUUAGGACCGUAGGCAAAUCCGCGGACCUAGCUGAAACCCAAUAGUACUGCAAACCUUCGGGAGCGCAGAUAGAGCAGGUAAUCAGACUUCCAAGAAAACCCGCUAAGCUUCAGGUAUAUAAAACCCGUACCGUAAACCGACACAGGUAGUCGAGGAGAGAAUCCUAAGGUGCUCGAGUGAGUCAUGGCUAAGGAACUCGGCAAAAUGGCCCUGUAACUUCGGGAGAAGGGGCGCUGUCUCUGAGAGGAGCAGCCGCAGUGAAAAGGCCCAGGCGACUGUUUAGCAAAAACAUAUGGCUUUGCAAAAUCGAAAGAUGAGGUAUAAGGCCUGACACCUGCCCGGUGCUGGAAGGUUAAGAGGGGAUGUUAGUCGCAAGGCGAAGCAUUGAAUCGAAGCCCCAGUAAACGGCGGCCGUAACUAUAACGGUCCUAAGGUAGCGAAAUUCCUUGUCGGGUAAGUUCCGACCUGCACGAAUGGUGUAACGAUCUGGGCGCUGUCUCA
rnacentral:rRNA from 1 species